CUUUCACCCCAGCACCUGGAGAGAUGCGCAGAUACCAACAAUUACUGAUUGGGCUCCUGCUGGGUACCAAGCAUCCCUACCUGCCCCCGUGCCUGUUCUCUUUAAAAGUUGCAGGACUGUCACAGACUGUCUCCAGAAUAUGCAACAAACUCAUAUUGGUGGCUGUUUCUAGGCAGGGGUCCUGAAGGUGUGUAUAGGGUGGGAGACUGACUUUUUCACUGCUGUU